rnacentral:rRNA from 1 species
ACGAACGCUGGCGGCGUGCUUAACACAUGCAAGUCGAACGGAAAGGCCCUGCUUUUGUGGGGUGCUCGAGUGGCGAACGGGUGAGUAACACGUGAGUAACCUGCCCUUGACUUUGGGAUAACUUCAGGAAACUGGGGCUAAUACCGGAUAGGAGCUCCUGCUGCAUGGUGGGGGUUGGAAAGUUUCGGCGGUUGGGGAUGGACUCGCGGCUUAUCAGCUUGUUGGUGGGGUAGUGGCUUACCAAGGCUUUGACGGGUAGCCGGCCUGAGAGGGUGACCGGCCACAUUGAGACUGAGAGACGGCCCAGACUCCUACGGGAGGCAGCAGUGGGGAAUAUUGCACAAUGGGCGGAAGCCUGAUGCAGCAACGCCGCGUGCGGGAUGACGGCCUUCGGGUUGUAAACCGCUUUCGCCUGUGACGAAGCGUGAGUGACGGUAAUGGGUAAAGAAGCACCGGCUAACUACGUG